AGCAGCCGCGGUAAUUCCAGCUCCAAUAGCGUAUAUUAAAGUUGUUGCAGUUAAAAAGCUCGUAGUUGAAUUUCGGGAUCAGUACGCUGGUCGUGCCUUCGGUAUGUACUGGUGUUACUGGUUCCUACCUUCUGACGAACAGUCGUGUCAUUAAUUUGGUGUGGCGGGGAAUCAGGACUGUUACUUUGAAAAAAUUAGAGUGUUUAAAGCAGGCUCACGCUUGAAUACAUUAGCAUGGAAUAAUGAAAUAGGACGUUUGAUUCUAUUUUGUUGGUUUCUAGGAUCGACGUAAUGAUUAAUAGGGAUAGUUGGGGGCAUUAGUAUUCAAUUGUCAGAGGUGAAAUUCUUGGAUUUAUUGAAGACUAACUACUGCGAAAGCAUUUGCCAAGGAUGUUUUCAUUAAUCAAGAACGAAAGUUAGGGGAUCGAAGACGAUCAGAUACCGUCGUAGUCUUAACCAUAAACUAUGCCGACUAGGGAUCGGAUGAUGUUAAUUUUUUAAUGA
rnacentral:rRNA from 1 species